UGGCUGUGUAGAUGAUUUUCUGGGAC
rnacentral:piRNA from 1 species